CUGGCGACGCUGCUUCUAUUUCCCGCAUGUUCUUUCCGCAUUUAGUAUUGUAGUGUAUUGAACUUGUAUGACAUGUAAUGGCGUCAGUUAGUCUGAGACGAGAGUCAGAAGAGUAAGCUGGAAGUCAGCAGUUAGACGCGAGUCAGUCCCUAUGUGGUGUACGCCCACGUUGAGUCCUUUUCCCAUAGUACUAUUGUAACUUAGUGGUCCAGCGCUACAGAAUUCGUUAACGUCCGUCAUCAUCAAAUUUCGUGAGGUAGAAAUCGCUUGGGCAUCCGACGUAGAGGUGAUGUUCAGUCGCAUUCGUCUUAGGACCGAAGACUCACGUUAUUUUCGUUUUCUGUGGAACCGAAGAGGAGAAACAGAAUCGCGACUAUGUGAGAUGCGGAGACUACCGUUUGGGGCCACCUGUUCCCCAUUUAUUGCAAUCGCCACUACUCGAAGAGCAGCAGCUGAUUUUGCCGGACCCUCGUUCGUGUCCAAAGCCAUUGAACACAAGAUGUACGUGGACGAUUAUUUGAGUUCAGCGAAGACAAUCCAUCUUGCCAUUCAAUAAGCGACUGGAGUUCAAGAGGCGUUGGCGGCAGGUGAUCUAUAUCUCCAAGGAUGGAUCUCAAAUUCCGUUGAGUUCUUGAACCUGCUGUCCGUCGACGUCAAAGCUAGUCUCGUUGAAGAACGUUCCCUUGACGGAGACCAUGAAGAAAAGGUGCUUGGGGUGUACUGGAAUCCUACUACCGACGUGGUGAACCUCCGAGAGCUUCAGAUCCAGGGGUUUAAUGGACCGACGAGGUGACCGGAGAGGCAGAGCAGUGGUGGAAGAAAUGGUUCGAGACAUUGAAGCAGCUCAACGACUUAGAGAUUCCACGUUGUCUAUUCGAGAGGGAAGAUUUCAUCGUUCGGACGGAGUUGCACAGUUUUGGAGAUGCUUCAGAAGAGGCGUACGCUGCAGUGGUUUACCUGAGAAACGUGUACGUCGAUGGAACGGUGUUAGUCCGACAUGUACGAGCGUCGACGAAGCUGGCUCCGAAAAAGACGAUUUCCAUCCCUAAACUCGAAUUGAACGCAGCCUUGCUGGCGGCUAGAUUGGUGCGUACCCUACAAAUGGCUCUCACUCGUACCAUUCACGCACGUUAUUUGUGGACGGACAGCAGUACCGUGCGAAACUGGAUCAGAGCAACUGCAUCCAAAUACCAAGUGUACGUCAGUCACCGUAAAGGCGAGAUUCAAACGUUGACAGAGCCACAGGAGUGGAGGUUUCUGCCAGGUCGGAUUAAUCCGGCAGACGUUGCGACCCGUUCCACGCUCGGAGAAGAGAUCUUUCCGUCUUACUGGUGGUGUGGCGUAGAAUUCCUACAACAUCCCGAAGAUCGUUGGCCAGCUGAUCUGCCCUGGAUGGUGGAGGUUGAAGAGAUUCGGCCAGUUCGUGCUAACGUGGUCCAGUGCGAAUCGUCGGCGCUGGACUGGGAGAAGAUGAAGAUUACAGUUGAGGAGAUCCCAGCGUUGGUGAAGCUGCAAGACCCCUUCCUCGAACUUGUACGACGGGGUCAAGAGGAGGUGUAUUCUGCAGAGCUUAGUUGUCUACAGAAAGGAAAGUGGAUCCCUUCCACCUCAAGUCUGUUAACGUUAUCACCGAUACUCGGAAAGGACGGAUUAAUUCGGCUAGGGGGUAGAGCUGGACGCGCUCAACUGCCUUACGAAGAAAUUCAUCCUCCUGUACUCCCAGCAGGACAUAAGUUUACCGUGAACGUUGUCAGGGCUUUCCACUUGAUGCUCAAACACGUCGGGACUGACUACCAAAUUAGUUUUAUUAGACAACACUUUUGGAUUCCCCGCGGUCGGGAAUUAGUCAAGAAGGUUCGUCGGGAAUGCACCGUUUGUCGAAGAGAGCGAGCCAAGCCGGGUGAGCAGCUCAUGGCGGAACUUCACGGAUCACGUUUGGAAGCAGGAACCCCGCCUUUCACGCGAACAGCUUGCGAUCUGUUCGGUCCACUGGACGUAGGCCUGUCUAGAAAUAGAACCGCCAAAAGGGCACUCUACUGAGCGUUAGAUGCAGAGAAAUUGAAGUUGCAGUAUCCGUCUGAAGAAACGUUACGUACUUUAUUAUACGAAGUAGCCGGCUUAUUGAAUGGGCGACCGCUGACAGCCGCGAGCAAUGAUCCAGCCGGUUUCCGACCGUUAACUCUGGCCGACUUUCUGAACCGGGGCAACACGGCGUGCCCACCCGUCGGCCACUUUGAGGACGCCCUACCUCGAGAGAGAUACAGAUACUUGCAACGUGUACUCAAUCUGUGUUGGGACAUUUGGAAGAAAGUUUAUUUGCAGUCUUUGGUUUCCCGUUCCAAAUGGAAGAACCCGAAACCUAAUUUUGCUGUUGGAGAUGUGGUACUCGAAAUCAACAGCUCUUUGAGAAGAAGCCAGUGGAAUCUUGGAAGGGUUACGAAAACCUAUCCCGGAGCUGACGGAUUAGUUCGUGUCGUGGACGUUCAAUUUGAGAGAGGCCUAUUUCGACGAGGAAUUGGACAGCUAGCUCUGCUGAAGACCGGCUCAUCCGCUGGAUCGCCCUAACGACCCAUCCGAUUCGGGGGAGUAUGGUCUGGCGACACUGCUUCCAUUUCCCGCAUGUUCUUUCCGCGUUUUAGUAUUGUAGUGUAUUGAACUUGUAUGACAUGUAAUGGCGUCAGUUAGUCUGAGACGAGAGUCAGAAGAGUAAGCUGGAAGUCAGCAGUUAGACGCGAGUCAGUCCCUAUGUGGUGUACGCCCACGUUGAGUCCUUUUCCCAUAGUACUAUUGUAACUUAGUGCUAUUCUCCAGCCUCGAAGUGAGGACUGUGGAGAGUUUGAUGGAAUUCAGCGAAUCUUAUUUGGAUCUGGGUUAGACUUCUGGCUCCACCGUCUUCUCUUUCUAGAUGCCAUGUCUUUUUUAUCACAUGGGCGGUUGUCAACAAGCUUGCAACGCUACAUUCAAGUUGACAUAGACGACAUCUUUGUUGGCCAGAAAGGCACACGCCUCACUCCCAAGUGAUGUGGAGAGCAUCAUCAAUACCCAAAAUCGUAUUCGAACGAUUGUUCCUGGCUUCAGAUUUAAUAUGGGAUAUUCCGGCAAGUUCUUUAACCAUGGAACUGACGAAGAGAACAAAGGAGAUGAAUAUCUUUCUAUUCAUUCAUUCGUUUGUCCAGUUAACAAAUAAAAUUAUUUUAUUUAUUUAUUUUUUAUUAUUUUUACCAGAACACGCCAAUGAGUUUACGUGGUUUGGGCAUAUGUGGAGUCACCAGCAACCACACCUAUAUGAGAAUAUUUCCUUAUUGGAAGCAGAUAUGCUUCUUAAUAAAAAAUUUGCGAUUGAACAUGGCAUUCCAACAGACUCUGGUUAUUCCGUAUCUCCACAUCACUCAGGGGUCUAUCCUGUCCAUGAAGCGCUGUACGAAAUGUGGAAAAAGCUUUGGAAUAUUCAUGUCACGUCUACAGAGGAGUAUCCGCACUUAAGACCUGCUCGACUGCGCCGUGGAUUUAUCCAUAGGGGGAUCAUGUAAUGCUUUUUUAUCAAACGUAAAAUGGCUCUCAAUUACAUAAGGUGCUUCCGAGACAAAAUUGUGGACUCUAUACCCACACCAUUUUUAUCGACAAGUAUCCUGGUGGUCGCUCGACAUUAGAUAGCAGGAUUAAAGGAGGGGAGCUUUUCCAGACGAUCGUCUUUAACAGGGUAUGGUAAACAUGGGAAAUAUCGUUAUGUCUGAUUAAUUGCAUUGAGAUCAUGUCGCCUGUGGCUAUUUUGCUGUCUUGACCAAAAAGGGCCUGAACAUAGUUUUAUAUGUCAAAGACGGAAUUUACUAGGUCGAAAGCGAAAAGGAAUAACUUUUGAAAGAAAUUGACAUGAAAUUAACUGUAUUUUCUUGUGUUCACAGAUUUACUUUGUAUCCGGAGUGCGUCAUUCUGACGAAUGAGCACGAGGAUUCAAUUACAUAAGUUUGGUGAUGGUACAAGAAGAAAGAGGAAAGGAAGUGUAAACAAAAAAAUAGAAUUUAAAUUUUACACGAGUUUCUAUUCCGAAAAAUUGCUAAUAAAAAAUAGUUAAUAAGGUCUAUUUGGAUCUACUUGGAAAUAAAACCUGUGACAUACAAA
rnacentral:misc_RNA from 1 species